GCAGUCGUGGCGGAACUGGUAUACGCGCUAGCUUGAGGUGCUAGUCCUGCAAAGGGUGCAGGUUCGAGUCCUGUCGACUGCA
rnacentral:tRNA from 1 species